ACCCAUCUAGCUCAACCGGACAGAGCGUCAGAUAUCGGAUCUGGAGGUUACGAGUUCGAUUCUCGUGGUGGGAG